GAGGGGAUAGCUUAGUGGUAGAGUGCAUGCUUACCAUGCACAAAGUCCUGAGUUCAAUCCCUAAUCCCUCCA
rnacentral:tRNA from 1 species